rnacentral:rRNA from 1 species
CCUACGGGGGGCAGCAGUGAGGAAUAUUGGUCAAUGGGCGCGAGACUGAACCAGCCAAGUAGCGUGAAGGAUGACUGCCCUACGGGUUGUAAACUUCUUUUAUAAAGGAAUAAAGUGAGGCCCGUGUGCCUUUUUGUAUGUACUUUAUGAAUAAGGAUCGGCUAACUCCGUGCCAGCAGCCGCGGUAAUCCGGAGGAUCCGAGCGUUAUCCGGAUUUAUUGGGUUUAAAGGGAGCGGAGAUGGGUUGUUAAGUCAGUUGUGAAAGUUUGCGGCUCAACCGUAAAAUUGCAAUUGAUACUGGCAGUCUUGAGUACAGUUGAGGUAGGCGGAAUUCGUGGUGUAGCGGUGAAAUGCUUAGAUAUCACGAAGAACUCCGAUUGCGAAGGCAGCUUACUAAACUGCCACUGACAUUGAUGCUCGAAAGUGUGGGUAUCAAACAGGAUUAGAUACCCGGGUAGUC